rnacentral:lncRNA from 1 species
AUGAUACGCCCGUAGUCUUGUGAAAAACCGUAAUAAAUGUUUUUGGCAUAACACGGGGUUGUACAAGAUGUCAUGCUUAAUAUAUCCAGACUCAUUCCUUAUUCCAGCUCAAUAGGAAGUUUUAAAAUAUAAGAUGUAUAUGGAAACCAGUCGCAACAUAAACGUGUUAAGUUUUAAGCAAUAGAGAUACGGCACGAAAUUUGAAAAAAAACACCCCCUUUUUUACCAAAAAAAAUUAUGACAUACAUUAAUCCUUUAAAUUUGUAGCCAGGACUCAUUAAACAGGUAUACCCCGGG